GCGAGUAAGACCCUGCCCUAGUGGCUCGGUCAGUCCCAUCAUAUACACCUUUAUUCGUGAACUCGUGGUUCAGCUGGACCGAUGAAAGCUUUGGCGACUAGCCGUCCGUCGGUUCCGCUCUUUAUACCCUUUAUGUGAAGUCAAUGGAAAUAUGAUAAUCUAAUA
rnacentral:misc_RNA from 1 species